GACGUAGGAGGCGAGCGUUAUCCGGAAUUAUUGGGCGUAAAGAGCUCGUAGGCGGUUUGGCGCGUCUGCCGUGAAAGUCCGGGGCUCAACUCCGGAUCUGCGGUGGGUACGGGCAGACUAGAGUGAUGUAGGGGAGACUGGAAUUCCUGGUGUAGCGGUGAAAUGCGCAGAUAUCAGGAGGAACACCGAUGGCGAAGGCAGGUCUCUGGGCAUUAACUGACGCUGAGGAGCGAAAGCGUGGGUAGCAAACAGG
rnacentral:rRNA from 1 species